AAAAAAAAAAUCCCUAGCCGUCGAUGUUUUACAUCGUCAACCGAUAGUCUACACCGGCCACCGCCAUCCAAGUCUAUCUCGCUGGCAUCGCCAGAUCCAUCAGCUUUUAAUUUCCCGCCAACCGAUCAACCAUUUAAGCUUCUUCUUUCGUUAUCCCCCUACAUUUCAGCUCCAAAUCAGGAGUUCAUUGGCACAUUGAGUCUAGCAAGUGUGGAAGUUAAUGUUAUAGUACCAUAAGGACUUGAGCUCGGAAACAUGUGUGAAACCAUCGGUGGACGCCAUGAUUUAUUCUAAGGUUUAAGAAGAAGAUACUGUUUGGAUACAUAUCUAAUAUAUCUACGAUCCGAAUGAAAUAAUACCAAACAAUAAGGAUUCGCGUCCCAUCUCCAAAUAUAAUGACUUCGUUGCCCUUAAAUUUUUUUUUCUCUUCUUCCUUGCUUAAUCCGUAGGGGCAAUAUAUGGAAUUUUUUGUAAUUUUUUUUUUCUGUUUUUGUACUCCCCAAUUAAUAGUAUAGAUUCAACAAAAAUAUAAUUUUGAAAAGAAAUGUCUCUAGCUGGCUAUGACAAAAAAACCAUGUAUAGAAAGUCUUUAAAAACAUA